GAUGAACGCUGGCGGCGUGCCUAAAACAUGCAAGUCGAACGCAUCCUUCGGGGUGAGUGGCAGACGGGUGAGUAACGCGUGGGAACAUGCCCUUCAGUUCGGAAUAACCCAGGGAAACUUGGGCUAAUACCGGAUACGUGCGAGAGCAGAAAGAUUUAUCGCUGAAGGAGUGGCCCGCGUCUGAUUAGCUAGUUGGUGAGGUAAAGGCUCACCAAGGCGACGAUCAGAGCUGGUCUGAGAGGAUGAUCAGCCACACUGGGACUGAGACACGGCCCAGACUCCUACGGGAGGCAGCAGUGGGGAAUAUUGGACAAUGGGCGCAAGCCUGAUCCAGCCAUGCCGCGUGAGUGAUGAAGGCCUUAGGGUUGUAAAGCUCUUUCGGC
rnacentral:rRNA from 1 species